rnacentral:rRNA from 1 species
ACGCGUGGAACCUUACCAGGUCUUGACAUCCCGCUGCCCGGUCUGGAGACAGAUCUUCCCCUUCGGGGGCAGCGGUGACAGGUGGUGCAUGGUUGUCGUCAGCUCGUGUCGUGAGAUGUUGGGUUAAGUCCCGCAACGAGCGCAACCCUUGAUCUUAGUUGCCAGCAUUUAGUUGGGCACUCUAAGGUGACUGCCGGUGACAAACCGGAGGAAGGUGGGGAUGACGUCAAAUCAUCAUGCCCCUUAUGACCUGGGCUACACACGUGCUACAAUGGAUGGUACAAAGGGCUGCAAGACCGCGAGGUUUAGCCAAUCCCAUAAAACCAUUCUCAGUUCGGAUUGCAGGCUGCAACUCGCCUGCAUGAAGCUGGAAUCGCUAGUAAUCGCGGAUCAGCAUGCCGCGGUGAAUACGUUCCCGGGCCUUGUACACACCGCCCGU